GAUCCUGGCUCAGGAUGAACGCUAGCGACAGGCUUAACACAUGCAAGUCGAGGGGCAGCGGGGAGUAGCAAUACUUCGCCGGCGACCGGCGCACGGGUGAGUAACACGUGUGCAACCAACCCCGUACCGGGAGAUAACCCGCGGAAACGUGGACUAACAUCCCAUAACACUCUAGAGCCGCAUGGUUCUGGAUUUAAAAUUCCGGUGGUACGGGACGGGCACGCGCGACAUUAGGUAGUUGGCGGGGUAACGGCCCACCAAGCCGACG
rnacentral:rRNA from 1 species